rnacentral:rRNA from 1 species
CAGUCGAGCGGAUGAAGGGAGCUUGCUCCUGGAUUCAGCGGCGGACGGGUGUAAUGCCUAGGAAUCUGCCUGGUAGUGGGGGAUAACGUCCGGAAACGGGCGCUAAUACCGCAUACGUCCUGAGGGAGAAAGUGGGGGAUCUUCGGACCUCACGCUAUCAGAUGAGCCUAGGUCGGAUUAGCUAGUUGGUGGGGUAAAGGCCUACCAAGGCGACGAUCCGUAACUGGUCUGAGAGGAUGAUCAGUCACACUGGAACUGAGACACGGUCCAGACUCCUACGGGAGGCAGCAGUGGGGAAUAUUGGACAAUGGGCGAAAGCCUGAUCCAGCCAUGCCGCGUGUGUGAAGAAGGUCUUCGGAUUGUAAAGCACUUUAAGUUGGGAGGAAGGGCAGUAAGUUAAUACCUUGCUGUUUUGACGUUACCAACAGAAUAAGCACCGGCUAACUUCGUGCCAGCAGCCGCGGUAAUACGAAGGGUGCAAGCGUUAAUCGGAAUUACUGGGCGUAAAGCGCGCGUAGGUGGUUCAGCAAGUUGGAUGUGAAAUCCCCGGGCUCAACCUGGGAACUGCAUCCAAAACUACUGAGCUAGAGUACGGUAGAGGGUGGUGGAAUUUCCUGUGUAGCGGUGAAAUGCGUAGAUAUAGGAAGGAACACCAGUGGCGAAGGCGACCACCUGGACUGAUACUGACACUGAGGUGCGAAAGCGUGGGGAGCAAACAGGAUUAGAUACCCUGGUAGUCCACGCCGUAAACGAUGUCGACUAGCCGUUGGGAUCCUUGAGAUCUUAGUGGCGCAGCUAACGCGAUAAGUCGACCGCCUGGGGGAGUACGGCCGCAAGGUUAAAACUCAAAUGAAUUGACGGGGGCCCGCACAAGCGGUGGAGCAUGUGGUUUAAUUCAAGCAACGCGAAGAACCUUACCUGCCUUGACAUGCUGAGAACUUUCCAGAGAUGGAUUGGGCCUUCGGGAACUCAGACACAGGUGCUGCAUGGCUGUCGUCAGCUCGUGUCGUGAGAUGGUGGUU